GACGAACGCUGGCGGCGGGCUUAACACAUGCAAGUCGAACGAUGAAGCUGGAGCUUGCUCCGGUGGAUUAGUGGCGAACGGGUGAGUAACACGUGAGUAAUCUGCCCUUGACUCUGGGAUAACUGCGGGAAACUGUAGCUAAUACCGGGUACGACACCUUCGGGCAUCCGAUGGGUGUGGAGAGAAUUUCGGUCAAGGAUGAACUCGCGGCCUAUCAGCUAGUUGGUGAGGUAAUGGCUCACCAAGGCGACGACGGGUAGCCGGCCUGAGAGGGUGACCGGCCACCCUGGGACUGAGACACGGCCCAGACUCCUACGGGAGGCAGCAGUGGGGAAUAGUGCACAAUGGGCGAAAGCCUGAUGCAGCAACGCCGCGUGAGGGAUGAAGGCCUUCGGGUUGUAAACCUCUUUUAGUUGGGAAGAAGCGAAAGUGACGGUACCAACAGAAAAAGCACCGGCUAACUACGUGCCAGCCGCCGCAGUAA
rnacentral:rRNA from 1 species